rnacentral:rRNA from 1 species
UACGUAGGGUGCGAGCGUUAAUCGGAAUUACUGGGCGUAAAGCGUGCGUAGGCGGUUAUAUAAGACAGUUGUGAAAUCCCCGGGCUCAACCUGGGAAUUGCAUCUGUGACUGUAUAGCUAGAGUACGGUAGAGGGGGGUGGAAUUCCGCGUGUAGCAGUGAAAUGCGUAGAUAUGCGGAGGAACACCGAUGGCGAAGGCAAUCCCCUGGACCUGUACUGACGCUCAUGCACGAAAGCGUGGGGAGCAAACAGG